rnacentral:rRNA from 1 species
UACGAAGGGGGCUAGCGUUGCUCGGAAUCACUGGGCGUAAAGCGCACGUAGGCGGAUUGCUAAGUCAGGGGUGAAAUCCUGAGCUCAACUCCAGAACUGCCUUGAUACUGGAGACCUUGAGUCCGGGAGAGGUGAGUGGAACUGCGAGUGUAGAGGUGAAAUUCGUAGAUAUUCGCAAGAACACCAGUGGCGAAGGCGGCUCACUGGCCCGGACUGACGCUGAGGUGCGAAAGCGUGGGGAGCAAACAGG